GAGGCGUAGGGCGCGAGCGUUUGUCCGGGAUUUAUUGGGCGUAAAGAGCUCGUAGGCGGCUUGUCGCGUCGGCUGUGAAACCCGCGGCUCAACUGUGGGCGGUGCGGUCGAUACGGGCGAUCACUGGAGUUCGGCAGGGGAGACUGGAAUUCCUGGUGUAGCGGUGAAAUGCGGUAGAGAUCGGGAGGAACAUCAGUUGCGGAAGGCGGCUCUCUGGACCAGCACUGACACUGAGGCACGGAAAGCGUGGGGAGCAAACAGG
rnacentral:rRNA from 1 species